CUUCCUCUGUUUGCUGUCAUCAAUAUCGAAGUGGGUGUGCCGGUGGUUGCUGUUUGUUCCCUCUGUCCAACAUCGAUCCUCAUCUUCCCUCUGUCCACCGCGUCUCCCCAUCUAUUGUUCGUCUGCUAUGAUAGUUGCUGUCAGAUCUCCUUCGAGCAGCAACGUUGCCCUGUUCCUGGGUGGUCUGGAGACGUCACCGUUUUGGUGGCCAUGGGAUGCUCUACUCUUUCCUUUUCUUCUCAUGCUUCGUGCGAUUUCUUCUCCUUCUUGCUCGCUCUCCACCUCUGUCUGUCUUCCUCGGUACCUGCUCUAACUUCAGCGUUCAUGUUCGGGUUACGGAUGGGUGAGAAACACAGUUGCCGGAGCCAUUGGCAGUGCUGUCUCGAGCUUCGACUGGUGCUGUUGAUCCGGUUUCUUUCCUUUAUUGUGAGCUGCAUUCAGUUUUGCCUCUCCCCUGCUCAACCAUCUUAAUCAUCUCCUUCUCAUUGCUCUGUGCCAUGGAGAUCUAAGGGUAUUUGAAAAAUGAGUUUGAUUGAAGUUGCAAGAGGUGAAAUUUGAUCUCUUGAGAAUUUCAGGUAAGUAGAUAUCAUCCCAACUAAUUUAUCAAUUAAUUUUUCUUAUUAAAAUUUAUUUUGUUACUUUGAUUAUUUUAAUAAUAAUUAUGUUGAUUAGUGCAUACUUGGUUAAUUAAAUUUUCUCAUUUUUAAGUUUUAAGACGGUGGUGAAAAAUGAUUCAUCAUAGCAUAUGAAUGUUUUACCUUUUAUGAGAUAUCUUUUCAGGAUUAAUGAAAUUCCUUUUCAUUAGCAUUGGCAAUUUGUGAUUAUUUAAUAAAUGCAAGCAUGAACAUUGGAUAUGAAAUUUAAUUCUGGCAAGUUUUAAUGGUUAAAAGUAUUUAUGCGAGUUUGAUUUUGAGAAUGAAAAUUGUAUUUUAAAAGUGAUGAUUUUCUCGCAUAUUUGAAAAUGAUUUAAAAAAAAUUUUAUACAAAACACUGGUUGCUAACGGCAGUUCCGUUAGCCCUUGGUGCGCCAUGGUACACCUAGCUAGCAGGGUGUUUAUAGGAAGUGCUAGCCCCGUGCGAUGGCUAACGCACGUGGAAUGGAGGGAUGAUUAUUCGUGAGCAUUGUACUCACAUUUGUUUCAUGGCUUCAAGUUGCGUUUGGUUAGCAUUACCCUUAUGGAUUGUGUAUUCACGUUUGUUUUGUGGCUUCAAGCUACGUUUGGUUACACACUUUCGUGGACUGUGUGUCCACGUUUGCUUUCGUGGCACAAGCCAUGUUUGGUUAGUUUUCUUCGUGGACUUUGUGUCUACGUUUGUUAAUUAUUCUAAUAAGUCCCUAUAAUUAUGAAUCCAAUCAUUUGAUGAUUUCAUGUUCUAUUGGUUUUUAUUUAGUAGUUUAUUUAUAAAUAUUUAUUUCAUUUAUGUGCUUUCUUGAAAUCAAGUGAUAUUAUCAUUUACUAUGAUAGUUCAAUAAUUUGAGAUUUUAUUUGAAAUUUAUAGAGCUAUUUUAUUAUGAAGUUUAUUAAAUUUUUAUGAAAAUUUUGUCUAUUUAACUUACAUAACUAUUUCAAACUUUUUAUUUUAUUUAUGUUCUAUUGUUUAUUGUUGGGACGUUAUUCACUGAAAAAUUAUUUGUGUCUCAUAUGCCUUAGUUGACGUUGAUCUUGCUACCGACCUUGAGUACUUAUAGACAGGUGGAGGGUUGAUUGAAAUUUUCUUUUGAUGUAAUUAUUACUGUUUAUGUAUCUUAUUUUUAUUUUAUUUUUUGAAAAGUACAGUUAGGUGCUCCACAUAAGCUAUAAUUAGGACUUUUAUUUAUUUUAUAUAUAUGCUGUCUGUCGACUGGAAGGAGCUAAGCUCCUGAUUUAUUUGACUUUUUGACUGCAUCAAUGUAUUGUAUAAAUUUGGGAGAUCACAUUUACAAGAAGAGGUUUUGUUAAAAUUUCUACGAACAUGUUGAAAAUUGGUUAUAAUUAUUAGUGUCAAAGGUGUUAUAAUUUCAAAAUAAAUCUGAUUUCAUUUUAGAAAUAGAAUGAACUUACGAUUUAAGGCUUACGGGGAGGUGUGAAACGAUUCACCUCUUGUGCCGGUCACUCUCCAAAUUUGGAGCAUAACACGAUGCUCACCCCUACUCCACAUGGUUGUCGUUUGAGGAAGGCGUGUGUGUUGUUGGGUCAAUGUGUGUGUGGAUGGUGAUGGAUCAUCUCUUCGAUUGGCAACUGAAGGAGAAUCACUCAUAUCUGGAAUUCCUGAGUUAUGAUGGAGGUGCAUUUUGCUCAAACUCAUCAAAUAUUGCAAUUUUAUCUAGAUCUGGUAUGAAAUGCUUCUGGUUGAUCAAUUAUGCAAGCUUGUGAUUUGAUCUCUAUGGUAAGGAUGGUUGGGAUCUCAAAAGCCUCGUCAUUGACAUUUUGGUGGUGUCAUUUUGCUCUCUAUGUUAAGUCAUUUUGUGUUAUGAUUGGUUUUUGGCAUACGUUUUCCUGAUUUGGCUUACAAGGAUGGAUCUAAGAGCUAGCCUUUAGGGGCGAACAAAUGAAAAUUUUCCUCAAAAUAUGGGCUAAAAUUAAUUUUAACAAUGUUUACAAACAAAAUAAGAAUGUUUUUCUCUUAGAGUUGUUGGUUAUUUGCUUAGUGUUUUUCUAAUUUGGUUAGGAAAGGUUUUGCCUUGUUUGUGCAUGAUUGUUUGUGUUUGUUUAGUAUGUUCUCUUCAAUUAUUGUUGGCUUGAUUUAAAGAGAAAUUAAUAGACUGUUUGGGUAUUUGUUUUCUGUCAUUAUUAUUAACCAUGAAGUCUGGCAAAGCAUACCAUGAUGAUGGGGAGAGAAAGAAAAUAAAAAUUCAUUCAAUGUCAUGGCCCGGGUUUAUCUAUGCCUAUCGAAUCAAUCAUAUACCAAGACCAAAUUAAAGAUGCAAUAUGUUGAGAGAAGAACAAAAGGUUCAAGCUAAUUAAUCAUCCAAUUGAUUUCAAGCUUUGUAAAGUUCAUGCUCCUGCCUCAUGUGUCUCAAUGACACUAUACGAUGUUCCAUGAGGUAGGAAGGUGGAGAUGAAUUCAAGAGCGUUAAUGUAAUUAAAUUCUUUUACGUUUGAAUUCUCAUAUGUCUAACUUUGACUUCCGUACAAAAUAAUCUGUAAAUUUAUGUAUAUCUCCAUCUCAUAUGGAAUUGUC